rnacentral:rRNA from 1 species
AGUGAACGCUGGCGGCAGGCCUAACACAUGCAAGUCGAACGGCAGCACAGUAAGAGCUUGCUCUUAUGGGUGGCGAGUGGCGGACGGGUGAGGAAUACAUCGGAAUCUACUCUUUCGUGGGGGUUAACGUAGGGAAACUUACGCUAAUACCGCAUACGACCUACGGGUGAAAGCGGAGGACCUUCGGGCUUCGCGCGGUUGAAUGAGCCGAUGUCGGAUUAGCUAGUUGGCGGGGUAAAGGCCCACCAAGGCGACGAUCCGUAGCUGGUCUGGGAGGAUGAUCAGCCACACUGGAACUGGGACACGGUCCAGACUCCUACGGGAGGCAGCAGUGGGGAAUAUUGGACAAUGGGCGCAAGCCUGAUCCAGCCAUGCCGCGUGGGUGAAGAAGGCCUUCGGGUUGUAAAGCCCUUUUGUUGGGAAAGAAAAGCAGUCGGUUAAUACCCGAUUGUUCUGACGGUACCCAAAGAAUAAGCACCGGAUAACUUCGUGCCAGCCGCCGCAGUAACAC